rnacentral:rRNA from 1 species
GAUGAACGCUGGCGGCGUGCCUAAUACAUGCAAGUCGAGCGAACAGACGAGGAGCUUACUCCUCUGACGUUAGCGGCGGACGGGUGAGUAACACGUGGAUAACCUACCUAUAAGACUGGGAUAACUUCGGGAAACCGGAGCUAAUACCGGAUAACAUGUUGAACCGCGUGGUUCAACAGUGAAAGACGGUCUUGCUGACACUUAUAGAUGGUUCCGCGUCGCAUUAGCUAGUUGGUAAGGUAACGGCCUACCAAGGCAACGAUGCGUAGCCGACCUGAGAGGGUGAUCGGCCACACUGGAACUGAGACACGGUCCAGACUCCUACGGGAGGCAGCAGUAGGGAAUCUUCCGCAAUGGGCGAAAGCCUGACCGAGCAACGCCGCGUGAGUGAAGAAGGUCUUCGGAUCGUAAAACUCUGUUAGUAGGGAAGAACAAAAGUGUAAGUAACUAUGCACGUCUUGACGGUACCUAAACAGAAAGCCACGGCUAACUACGUG